AAUUAAUGAACUUGCUAUAAGUGUAUAUUUUGAAAAUAUAAAAAAGGGAUUUACCCCCUAUUAAUUU
rnacentral:tRNA from 1 species